rnacentral:rRNA from 1 species
UACGUAGGGUGCAAGCGUUAAUCGGAAUUACUGGGCGUAAAGCGUGCGCAGGCGGUUUUGUAAGUCUGACGUGAAAUCCCCGGGCUCAACCUGGGAAUUGCGUUUGGAGACUGCAAGGCUGGAGUCUGGCAGAGGGGGGGUAGAAUUCCACGUGUAGCAGUGAAAUGCGUAGAGAUGUGGAGGAACACCGAUGGCGAAGGCAGCCCCCUGGGUCAAGACUGACGCUCAUGCACGAAAGCGUGGGGACAAACAGG